GAAUGAGGAGGGAUGGUAACAGUCUUCACUGCAGAACCUAGAUAUUUUGUGAUGUCUGACUAAUGCUGCUCGGAGAGGAUGUAGGAAAGAAGAGAGUUCUCCAAUUGACAGAAAGCAAAGAAGAAAUGAUUGUAAAGGGCUGGCACUGCUUAUAGUUAAAAGAGAGACACGAUUUAGAUACUGAGAUCCCUUUGCAGGAUGAAGCUUAAUGAGGUCUAUGUGGUCACAGAGGGAUAAAACACUGCGAGAUCAGAUGUGGCCCUGUGUUGUGUGUGAGAGCAGGACCUUUGAGCUGGAAAAAUACAGCUUACGAUUCUUAUGGCAACGUACAAAUAUCUCACACAAAGCGGCAUGCUGUUUGUGGGUCUGAAACCACAGCUAUCACCUUCCAUCCCCCACAGCAGAUUUUAUGGCUAUUUCAAAGUCUAUCCUGAAAUUUAACAGAAUUUAUGCAGAGUCAGAUAGCAGAUGGCGAAAUAUUUUGAUAGACUCUACUUAAGAUACUGUCCAUUGUAGAAUGAAGUUGUAGUUUUAGAUAUCUGUAUUUAUACUGAGCUUUCCAAUAUUCAAUCAGUGAGGAUGGAGACAAAGAAAUAAUAUAAUAAGAAAGAAACAAGUCACCAAUGUUUGUCAAGCAUUUCCUUGAAAGUGCAACAAGGUUGAAAUAUUUCCUAAAUCUGGACUCUUCUAUGAAAAAAAAAAAAAAAGUAAUAAUUUAAAAAAUCACGUUACCCUUAUUUUGGAUUUUGUUAUAAUGCUGUAUUGGAUACCUAUAAUACAUCGUAGAAUUGGAAUCAGAUAAUACAAUCAUAUCCCACUUAAUCAUUAUGAAGCAUGCUUGGCAAUCAAUCAAAAAAUCAGCUAAAGGUAAAAUAUCCUGAAGGCAGUGUAGAAUUGAUGGGGUUUGUCUCUGUGUGUGUGCAGAAGUGUGAGACACACAAACCUUAAGAAAAAUGUCAUGCCUCCAAACU